rnacentral:rRNA from 1 species
UACGAAGGGUGCUAGCGUUGUUCGGAAUCACUGGGCGUAAAGGGCGCGUAGGCGGCUUUUCAAGUCGGAGGUGAAAGCCCGGGGCUCAACCCCGGAAUUGCCUUUGAAACUGUAAAGCUUGAGUGUCGGAGGGGAUAGCGGAAUUGCUAAUGUAGAGGUGAAAUUCGUAGAUAUUAGCAGGAACACCGGUGGCGAAGGCGGCUAUCUGGACGACAACUGACGCUGAGGCGCGAAAGCGUGGGGAUCAAACAGG